AGCUGGUUUUCAUGCCAACUAGAGCUUCCCACUAACCACCUCUAGAAUGCUAGAAUCAGUCAGGGUUGGAAGGGACCACAGGGAUCAUCUAGUUCCAACCCCUCUGCGAUGGGCAGAGACACCCUGCCCUAGAGCAGGCUGUCCAGAGCCUCAUCCAGCCUGGCCUUAAACACCUCCAGGGAUGAGGCCUCAACCACCUCCCUGGGCAACCCAUUCCAGGCUCUCACCACUCUCCUGCUGAGCAACUUCUUCCUCACGUCCAGUCUGAAUCUUCCCCGCUUCCAGCUUUGCUCCAUUCCCCCUAGUCCUGUCCCUACCUGGUAGCCUGAAAAGUCUCUGCCCAGCUCUUUUGCAGGCCCCCUUCAGCUACUGGAAGGUCACAAUAAGAAUAACAGAAAAUAACCAGGAGAACUGUACUGGAAUGAAUGACAUUUCCACAUGGGAAUAUUGCUGGUGUCUUUCAGAGUCUUUUCAUCUUCCCUGGACUAACUGAAAACCCCUCUUUCAGUAUGUGACCUUGCCUGAGUUGCCUGCUGUUGUGGUCUUCAAAGAUGGAGCUUCCUUUGUUUCUGAUGAGUGUGAAGAUGGUGAUUUGUCAUCCUGGAUAAACAGAGCAAGAUUUCAAGGGUAUCUUCAUGUGGAUGGCUUUACACUUCAUGAACUUGGAGACAGAGGAAAACUUGUGGCUAUUGCAGUCAUUGAUGAUAAAAACUCUUCAGUGGAACAUACCAGGAACAGAACUGAGUGUUGGUGACAGUGUGGGAGAAGUUUGCUGAUAUGAUGUAGAGAACUUGGGGAACUUUGUUAGAUCUGAAGAGAUGCCAGGGCUGCUUUGGAUUGUCUUCAGCCGCAGUGCUGCCUCUUGAGGAGUCAGUGGACGGAGCGAAGCAGCCUGAAUGUCUGAGACUCUAGGAGUCAGCCUUUCAACCCUUAGACACCAAGCAAGACUAAAAUCUGUCACUCAGGAAGUUGCCAGAGAUUAUGGGGAUAGUUUUCACAGGGAUUUCCAGUUUGGCCACAUGGAUGGGAAUGACCACAUGAACAGUUUGCUAAUGGAGAGAGUCCCAUUUCAUUCUUGAUGCUUUCUUUAAGAGAGGCAUACAACUGAGCUCCCUCAGAGAAGCAGCAUGAAGUGCAUGAAGGAUGCUGGCUGCACUCAGUACAGACAAGGCACAUUGGAGUGCCAAAAAGGAGACCUUCUUCACCUGCUUCUCCUGUGCAAGCUCUUCUGUCUGUCUGCUGAGAUGUUUCUGCCUGUUUCUCUGGCAGAGAAGUGUUUCCUUUUUGGGCUGGCGAGCUGACCAUCCGUACUACCGUCGCCUUGAAUGCCUCCAACCAGCAGUGUUUGCUGCCAGACAGACACCUGGAGAAGACAGAGGACAUGCUGCGGUGGCUCCGAUUGUUACGCCGUGUGAUUUAUCUUCCUGUCCUGGCUGUCUUCCCGUGCUGGGUGCUGGCAGUGAAUACGUGGUGAGGAGUGCUUGGGGUGUGCCAUCCUUUGCUGUUCUCACUGUGGGAACUCCAAGAGCCAUGGAAUGGGCACAGGCUGGUGAUGGACUUCUGCAACGAAGCAAGAGAGUCCUCUAUGAGGCCAAGGCUGCUGUAAUGGAGGUUGGAUCCUCGAAGGUUUUGCUCUGGGUUCUGCGAUGGAGGCAAAGAUGGAGCAGGAGCACUAACUGGAGCUGGUAACGGACCAGCAGCAGCAGCUGGUAAUGGAACUGAUAAACCAAGAGCAAGUGCGACUGAAAGAGCUUUGCAGGUAACAACUCUGUGACCCUGUUUGGAGAGUUUUGAAUUGGUCAUUGCCAGCGAGAUCAAGAAAGCAGGAGUCAGCCACCUGCCACCCAUCCCCUCCUGACCCCAACCCCAGAAACCCAAAGCAGCACUUGGCACAGGAGGUCUCUCGUGUUGCAGUCUCAACUUCAAGCCCUGGAAUACUUUGCUUCAGCCAGCAGCAUGGGGUUGGAUACCAACAGCAGAGUCGACUUAACCUGUGACUAAGUGAACUUUAAGUGUUCUGACUCCACAGUGGAACCUGAUAAAGAAAGAUGUGAAUGGAA